AACACUCUUUAUGUAUGUUUGAAGCUUCAUCAAUUAAAGCAAAAGUUCUCUUACACUAUACAAACACUCAACAUCAGAGAUCAGAAUGCAGCUUCAAGGUGUGAACAACUAAAGAAAAAGUUCUCAAUUAAACCUUCAAAUUGAACAUCAGAUACUCUUCAGAAUUGGGUCUUGCAUUGUUUUUUGGAUAUAAUUCUGUUAAGUUUUCCUUAGAUCAUUUUGUUGUUGGUCAACAUGCCGGAAAAAGAGUUUUUUUGCCAAGAAUCCCUCUAACUCUUUCUGAAGAUGACAUGUUCUCAUUCAAGCUGAAAAGAAAACAAUUUCCAAUUCGACUUAGCUUUUCCAUGACGAUUAAUAAAGCUCAAUGUCAAACAAUUCCUCACGUUAGUAUUUAUCUACCGGAUUCUGUAUUUUCACAUGGACAACUUUAUGUUGCGUUAUCAAGAGGGAUUUCAAGACAAACAACGAAGGUGUUGGUACAUCUCGCCAAAGAUUUUAAACAACACGGAGUUUACACAUCAAAUGUUGUCUAAUAGGAAGUGUUGCGUGAUUAAUGAACCGCAUUCGUAAACGAAGCUGGUACAGUAGAGGAGAAGAUACAAGAAAUUCAUGAGCGAACUGAUGUAUUGGUAAAACAGGAAGAGAUACAAGAGACUCCCCUUAUUUUGUUUUUGGGGUUUUGUCCAGCUACUAGCUUGUUUUGUACUCUUCUUGUAGAUAGAUCACGCCAAAGCUACAACUAAAAAAAUUAACAAAAGUAUAUCACCAAAGAAUUGAUAAACUAACAGAAAAACCAGUGCCAACAUAUCACAAAUAAGAAAACUAACUUAAGUACUAUACAAUAUAUCACGAGGAGACUGAUAAACUAAUGGUAAACGAGUAUCCUAUUGUAAAUCGCCACUCCCGCCGCAUCGCGCGAGUAAACGAUUAGUACUAUAUAAAGUUCCAAAACCCUGAUUUCAGAAGCGCCGAGCGACAGUGGCUUCGAAGGGUUGUUCAGAUUCGUCGAUGGAACUGCACAACUUAGAGGGGUAUCGUAGUGUAAAGAGGUAGAGAGUUGUUAAGUAUAUGGCGAGUUUGUGCUAUCCACCGAUUCUUAAAGCGAAACGUGAAGGGGUGCUCUUUGCUUGAAGUUUGGAUUCAUUGCAAUCUGCGGCGUUGGCCCAUGAUCUCGCCACGUAUCAUCACCACGGAUUGAGAGUCGUGUACAAUUUUACCGAUGUGAUGAGGUACGCCGUGGAGUUGUUGAAGACCGGUCGUACUGUUAGAAAACGGGAGGUGGGAAAUGUGUCUUCGAUGGAGUUGGCUGGAAAGAGGAAGCUGGAAGAUGACACGGAUGCGCUGGAGAAUAAGAAGAUGAAGUUGCCGUCAUUGGGAGUUGAACGUAAGUUUAUUUGUAUCAUAGAGAUGAUGGAUGAUGGUAAAUUUGUUGUUACGAUGGGCUCUUCUUCGAUGCUUGCUAUGGGGACUUACAGUUCUCCGGAGACCGCAGCUGUGGCGUAUGACAUUGCGGCCUACUUUCUUCAUGGCCCGGACGCUAUUUUUAAUUUUGGGGGUAUGAUCGAGAACGUCAAGGAUUUGCCAGCCGACAUACUCAAAGUCGAAGCCAAAGCCAAAGCUAAAGCCGCCAAGCGGACCGAGCAGAACUAACAGGCUUUUCUGUUUGGUAACCGUGUGUUUGUUGGACUUUGAAUCUUGCAAAUAAUAGUUAGUUGUUUAGACUUUUCUGUUUGGUGACUAUUUGUUGGUGAUGAAAGACUUUGAAUCUACAAAUAAUAGUUAUUUAGUGGUAAAA